UUAAAUUGAAGAGUUUGAUCAUGGCUCAGAUUGAACGCUGGCGGCAGGCCUAACACAUGCAAGUCGAACGGUAACAGGAAGAAGCUUGCUUCUUUGCUGACGAGUGGCGGACGGGUGAGUAAUGUCUGGGAAACUGCCUGAUGGAGGGGGAUAACUACUGGAAACGGUAGCUAAUACCGCAUAACGUCGCAAGACCAAAGAGGGGGACCUUCGGGCCUCUUGCCAUCGGAUGUGCCCAGGUGGGAUUAGCUUGUUGGUGGGGUAACGGCUCACCAAGGCGACGAUCCCUAGCUGGUCUGAGAGGAUGACCAGCCACACUGGAACUGAGACACGGUCCAGACUCCUACGGGAGGCAGCAGUGGGGAAUAUUGCACAAUGGGCGCAAGCCUGAUGCAGCCAUGCCGCGUGUAUGAAGAAGGCCUUCGGGUUGUAAAGUACUUUCAGCGGGGAGGAAGGGAGUAAAGUUAAUACCUUUGCUCAUUGACGUUACCCGCAGAAGAAGCACCGGCUAACUCCGUGCCAGCAGCCGCGGUAAUACGGAGGGUGCAA
rnacentral:rRNA from 1 species